UGGGGAACCUGCCCCAUAGUCUGGGAUACCACUUGGAAACAGGUGCUAAUACCGGAUAAGAAAGCGGAUCGCAUGAUCAGCUUUUAAAAGGCGGCGUAAGCUGUCGCUAUGGGAUGGCCCCGCGGUGCAUUAGCUAGUUGGUAAGGUAAAGGCUUACCAAGGCGAUGAUGCAUAGCCGAGUUGAGAGACUGAUCGGCCACAUUGGAACUGAGACACGGCCCAAACUCCUACGGGAGGCAGCAGAC
rnacentral:rRNA from 1 species